GUCAAUGCAAAUGUAAUUAUGAUCAUGCAUCAACAGGAGCAAUCCUCAUUUUAUUUGAACAUUCAGGUGUCUUUCUCUUGCAUGGUGGCAUUGCUCUAUUAUUUGCAUUGCUAAAGCUUGGUCAUGGAAGAUGUUCUACCCGAGAGAAAAGAUACAAUGAGUCAACUAUACAAAUGAUUCUAUGAAUAUUCAGUACAUGCUUCUCUGAAUUUCGGUAAAGGUUGGUGGUACUGCUUAUCUGAAUUAACUUAUAUCUAACGGUCAUGGAAACAUCAAUACAGACAUUUAUGAACACUGUCAAGGUAAUCAUUGAGAAUUGUACCAACUGAUGCACAUUGUGAUUCCAGCUUCUGGAAAGAAAGGAACUACUCCCUCUGUCCCAUAAUAUAAGAGCGUUUUUGACACUAAUGUAGUGUUAAAAACGCUCUUACAUUAUGAGACAUAGGGAGUAUAUGCUACUUGCAUAAGCAGUUUUUUGACUUGCGGGUUAUUUUCGAGGAGAAUACCACUGAAAAAGUUGGAGCCUCUGUCAAAAUAUUAACAUGUGGCAGGUUGCUCUAUAUAUAUCCAUACAAAAGAGGAUUCGUGUUACAUUAUAGACGGCAAACAAGGCCAGACGUGUGCUCCUUGCUGCCAGCUCCGCCCUCCUCCACCCUAUCUCCUCGGAACGGGCAGCUCCAUCCAUCGGUACCUAGAAGCACAGAGGUUCGCCUCUACCACGAUGGCCACAUCACUGCAACCGAAACUCCACCAUUGUCCAGCCACCGACCCAGUGCAGCUCGACUCAAUCUGGACCAUAACCUCUCUGGGUGUUAGCAACAAUGUAUCUUCAGAAAUAAGCUUUGUUCAUGUAUAUUAUCUCUUUCAAUUUGAAAGAGAAGACAAGAAUAGUUUCAUUAUGGUUGUUCUGAAGGAAUGACAAGGCCAUUGAUGUUGUCAAG